AUCACAGCAACAAAAAAAGGAAACAACAAUAAGGUUUUUGUGCAUCGUCGUCACCAUGAGCGAAGAGGGAGGGAUCCAAAGUAGUGUGAGUUCGUAGAAGAUAUUCAACCUUUACCUCACUCAAUCAGACUCUUGCAUUUCACCAACAAAGUUUAGGUUAGACAAGUACCUAAUCUCUUCACGGAUUCAUGGCUCAAGUUUAUUUGAUUGAAGAUCAAGUUGUCAAGCUCCGACAAAGGAAUGACGAGAAGGAAAUGUCUGUAUUAAUGCAUCAAAUCCAUCAUGAUUGGAAGUCUUUAUCUGAUCUUGACCCUAGUGAGUUGGAGCACUUACUUGGUUAAUGAAUAAUAGAUCUAGAUCUUGCAUAGACUGGUAUAAAAACAUGGUUAAAUUGUUUUUAUGAGCAUAUUUUUUAAGUGUUAUUUCUCCCUCGUGUCAAAUAAAAUAUUUCAACAGGUACCCUUUGGAGAUUGGCAUUCCUCCACCAUGGUGGCUUAAAGGAAAUGAAGAACGGUAUUGGACUAUCAAAAGAUCUAGGUCCUCCACCCUAUAAGAAGUCACAUGAUUUGAAGAAGACAUGGAAAAUGGUUUCUGACUUCUGUUAUUAAGCACGUGCCACCUCAUGACUUUAAAAAAGAUACGAAACAUUGUAAGCCAAUCCAAGGAGCUCUUAGGUUAUCUUGUCUUACAAUGUUUCUUAUGAUCUUGUCUUUUGAAAAACAAGUGACAAGUGCUUAAUAACACUAAUGGGAACACACUUUUCAUACCUUAUUGAGAUCAUGAGGUUUUUUGUACGGUGGUGCACCUGAAUCCUUUUGAUAGUCCAAUAGAGGCCACCAUUCUUCAUCUUCUUUAGGCCACCAUAGUUGAGGAGUAAUAGGGAUCUCAACGUAUACUAUGGAUUCUUCUUCUCUAUAAUGAACAAACACGCAUGUUGCAAAGACCGUCAUAAGAGUUAUUUAGGACUUAGGAGUAUCUUUUUUAAGAGUUAUUUGUCCUCCAUGUCGAAUAAAAUAUUUCAGGCACGGAGGCACCCUUUGUAGAAAAGUGUUCCUCCACCGUGGUGGCUCAAAGGAGAUGAAGAAAGGUGAUCUCUAUUGGAAUAUCAAAAGGAUCUAGGCCGUUCACCUUAUAAGAAGCUUCAUGAUUUGAAAAAGGCAUAGACAAUAAUUUCUCACUUGUGUUAUUAAGCACUGAGUCACCCGACUUUCAAAAGAUAAGAAACAUUGUAAGCCAAUCUGCUUCUUAUCUUUUGAAAGUCGGGUGACAUGUGCUUAAUAACACUAGUGGGAACAAUCACUUUCCAUGCCUUUUUUAGAUCAUGCGGCACCGUAUAAGGUCAAUUCUUUUUCUCUAUAAUGAACAAUCAUCUACAUAUUGCAGAGACGACAUACACUCACUCAAACAUGAGGAUUCAUGUUCACUUUGAGUGCAUUGCUUCACUUAUGUAUUUCAUGCACUUGAUUGAUAGAUUCUUGUCAAAAUCUGGGGUAGACCUUGGAACUUGCUUUCCUCGUUUGUCUUUGCUAGGAAGAAUCAUUUUGCCUACUGUAUAGUCCAAAUGAUUGAAAGGUUUUUAACUUUACUCUUAUCAAUACUCAUUAAAAUUUUCAACUGGAAGUUUCCCUAAACUAAAAUCACUGGCUCUAUGUUGGGUGUGGUACUUUCUUGUUCACUCGUAUUAUAAAAAUGUUUACAAUGAUAGUUGAUAAAAUUUGAACUCAGUUGUUAAAUUAGGAUGUUCUCAAGUGGAAGGUUUAUAUUUUGCUCUAAAUUGCAUGAACUUAAUGCUGAUUUUGAAGUGUCAGAACUCAGAAGGCAUUAAUAAUUCAGGAGUUCGUAUUAUGGAAACUGACUCGAUGUGUUUAAUUAUGGCUUGGAGCAAAUGUUAUGUUGGAAAUUGGAAUAUUCUACAGAAAAACAUGGAUACUGCUAAAGCAAGUUUAGAAGUUCUUAUUGCAGAUCGGCAGUUCUUGAGGGACCGGGUUACGAUAUCUCAAGUGAGGUUGCUAGUUGUUUAGCACUCUGUUUCGCUGUCAGCAUUCACCACAUCUACUGAUCAAAAGUAAAUAACUAUUCACAGCAUUGGACUUACAUGGCAUGGCCAAGCACCACAAGCCCUUUACUACCUUUUAUGUUAUCCGACUUCCAUAGUGUUACAGUUGCUCGAGUGUAUAACUGUGAUGUUCAUCAACAAAAAAUUUGACAACCUGGUGUCACACUGCUCAAGACUAGCAAAAAAAAGAAUGGAAAAGGUACACCUAGAACUUAAGUUAGGGCUUCUGUACAUUUUCAGUUGAGAUUAUGGUUAUACAAUUCACAUUAUAGUGUAGUCUAGAUGAAUAUUGUUGCUUCUUGUGUUUCUUGUUAUGGUUUCACCACAGUAAAAUCAGCUUUGAGUUUGA